rnacentral:rRNA from 1 species
AGUUUGAUCCUGGCUCAGGAUGAACGCUAGCUACAGGCUUAACACAUGCAAGUCGAGGGGCAGCAUUGGAGUAGCAAUACUUCAGAUGGCGACCGGCGCACGGGUGAGUAACACGUAUCCAACCUGCCGCUUACUCGGGGAUAGCCUUUCGAAAGAAAGAUUAAUACCCGAUGGUAUAAAGAGUUCGCAUGUUCUCUUUAUUAAAGAAUUUCGGUAAGCGAUGGGGAUGCGUUCCAUUAGAUAGUUGGCGGGGUAACGGCCCACCAAGUCUACGAUGGAUAGGGGUUCUGAGAGGAAGGUCCCCCACAUUGGAACUGAGACACGGUCCAAACUCCUACGGGAGGCAGCAGUGAGGAAUAUUGGUCAAUGGACGAGAGUCUGAACCAGCCAAGUAGCGUGAAGGAUGACUGCCCUAUGGGUUGUAAACUUCUUUUAUAAGGGAAUAAAGUGAGGGACGUGUCCCUUUUUGUAUGUACCUUAUGAAUAAGGAUCGGCUAACUCCGUGCCAGCAGCCGCGGUAAUACGGAGGAUCCAAGCGUUAUCCGGAUUUAUUGGGUUUAAAGGGAGCGUAGGUUGACAUAUAAGUCAGCUGUGAAAGUUUACGGCUCAACCGUGAAAUUGCAGUUGAUACUGUAUGUCUUGAGUGUACAAGAGGUGGGCGGAAUUCGUGGUGUAGCGGUGAAAUGCUUAGAUAUCACGAAGAACUCCAAUUGCGAAGGCAGCUCACUGGGGUACAACUGACACUGAGGCUCGAAAGUGUGGGUAUCAAACAGGAUUAGAUACCCUGGUAGUCCACACAGUAAACGAUGAAUACUCGCUGUUUGCGAUAUACAGUAAGCGGCCAAGCGAAAGCAUUAAGUAUUCCACCUGGGGAGUACGCCGGCAACGGUGAAACUCAAAGGAAUUGACGGGGGCCCGCACAAGCGGAGGAACAUGUGGUUUAAUUCGAUGAUACGCGAGGAACCUUACCCGGGCUUGAAUUGCAGAGGAACAUAGUUGAAAGAUUAUGGCCGCAAGGUCUCUGUGAAGGUGCUGCAUGGUUGUCGUCAGCUCGUGCCGUGAGGUGUCGGCUUAAGUGCCAUAACGAGCGCAACCCUUAUCAUUAGUUACUAACAGGUCAUGCUGAGGACUCUAGUGAGACUGCCGUCGUAAGAUGUGAGGAAGGUGG